CUACCAACUAGGAAAAGACUAGGUUAAAAAGAUGAUCAUUACAAGUAAAAGGGGUGGGGUAUUUAUAGCUAGAAAUGUAGGGUUUAGGGGUAGGGUGGCUAAAUCUAAUCCAUCCAUGUGUGAUGUGUGUUGGGUAAAUCAUAGCCAUCCAUGUGCCCCCUUGCUUGCCAACUCUCUUUGAUUUUCUUCUUUUCUUUUCUUUUUCUCCCUUUUUCUUGCAUUUUCUCUUCUUUCUUUAUUUAUCUACAAUUUCCUGAAAUAAAAUAAAUAAGCGAUUAAUACUACGAAAAUAAACAAAAAAUAGGCACUUAAAUAU
rnacentral:lncRNA from 1 species